AAAUUUUACUACAGUAUUACUUCCGUUAAAAAUGGCUGCCUAUGUUUAUUAAUUAGAAUAAUGUCGUUUUUGACAUGUUUAUUGUGAUCGCUCUAGAAAAGAUACUUAGCGACAAAGGUAUAAAGCGGUCACACCAUCUUGGUGUAAGUUGUUAUUGUCUCUCAACGAUAACAGCAAAAUUUCAUGUGAGGUUCUGACUGUGGUGGGGAUGUUGAUGCUGUUCUUCUGGGUCAUGAUGCAAUGUGGAGUUGAACUGUCUUUAUCUUCAGAGCUGAAGAUUGAAAUUGUAUGUAUCUCCAAAAGUCUGGUGUCUAUGUGAGUCCACAUGGUGUCACAGUCCAAAAACACAAUGACACUAUUUUGCAAUAAUAACAAAAUUAAUAACAUUUAAAUGAUUUUCUACUAACCUCGUGUUGAUGACCAAUCAACCUUCUCUCUGGAACAAGACUAGGAGUUCUCACAUCACAUUGUAAGAUAAGUCCAUCCCUACUUCCUGACAACACAUCACCACCAUUCCAAGCAAGCGAUCCAACUCUGUCUGGAUGGGUCAGCAGCUCAUUAACUUGGGAAUUUACGGCAACGUCCCAGACUUGCACGUAGCCAUGAUAUGUGCCAAUUACCAAGAAAUUUUCCUACAAAUACAAAACACCAGGUCAUAAAUGUGUCCAAUAAUAAGUCAGUCCUAAAUUAUGUCAGAGGUGAUAUGAUGUGUUAUAUGUUUGGUAACAUUUCCUGGUCAGAAUAUGCAAAUUCUUACCUAUUAUCUACAGCUGCUGCAGAAUAUGGCAAUAAUGUUUCAUUUAUAUAACAUUAUGACAUCAUGGUACAUGAGAAUCCAGACAAAUACAUUUUCCUUGCAAGUCUUCGUGGGUGGAUAGCCUAUAUAUAUAACGCCUCCGGAACUGGCCCCAUCUCAUACCCACCUUGAAUGUGUGUUACUGCAAUGUUUGCAAAAAUUACUGUUAACACUAAACAACUGACAUGGCUCUCACCCACAAGCCAAAGUUAUACAGACAAAUGCAAGUAUCAUGAAAUAAACAUGGCUACUUCUGGGCAAAAAUCUCUAUAUGACAAACUACUAAAAUUUUGGGCUUAGUCUCCCUCACUUGGCAGGCGGAGGACAUAAUUCUUUUCCACCUUCCACCAGAAGGUCUGGAACAAGAAAUCCAAAUUCUCCAGAUUUCUCUUAAUGCACACAACAGUGAACUUCAGAAAUAACAAGGUGCUUCCUUUGUCACGGACAUAAAACAUAAAAUGAAAAGCAGAAAGAACAAACAGAAAUGGGGUUAGCAUUUGUGUUGUGUACCAGACACGGGAAAAACCGUGUAAGUACAGUGUGGGUUCGAAUAACGUUGGUCGAGCGGAUUUUGAUUGGUUGGUUGGUUGGUUAUUCGUCGCCGAUUGAAUAAGUACUGCAGAGAGUUGACUCGUACAAGGUUUUAUUACUAGUAAAUAGUAAAUUACACUAGUUGGCUGCGUAAGGCUAUCGCAGUGGCCGACUCUGAACUGAAGUGCCGUCGUGAAGACUGACUCGUAACAGAUCUAAAAGAGUGUUGGGUAAUGCUCUUGCUGGUGUAUAUAUAUUGGUCAGCAAGGGCGUAUCCCGGGUACAAUAUGUGAACUUUUGUACUCUGUACUGAUACUUGUCUCACUCCCGGACCUUAGCUGAUGCUUAUUUUGAAAUGAUUGUGGGGUGACAGUGUCAAAGUGUCACCAUUUCCUUUAAAAACAACCCAAUUAUCAGGCGGGGAUAGCAUCGGUGAAAGUCCGAGUUACAAAACAGUGUUCACAUACAGGGUUUACUGAGAUAUACCAAUAUUAUAUUAUUAUUCAUAUACAACAUUUGACACUGAUUUGAGAUGGGUACAAGGAAGACGAGUAGAAGCAGAAUUGCAGGAUCAACAAGAGCCCAAAUUUCGGAAAACUCAAAAUGUGGACUUUGGCAACUUUCAGAAUUCAGAACAGAAGUCCACAGACUUUCUGGGAAUGAGACAAGCUUGAGGAAAGUUACUUUAUGACAGGCAAUAAAAAGCCAAGUCAGACAAAUAACAGCCCUUUCCUGUGUUGCUCUAAAAGAAAGGGAACUUCUUUUGCUCUAGCUCAAAGGCAAAUUCUACAAGUCAUAUGUUAGCUACAGUUGAACAAAACCUCCAAUAAUACAGUAUAACAAAGCACAGUAAUAGAGUGUUAAAGGGGAAGAGACUAUGGAAAGCCCAUGAAAUAUUGGCCACCUAAUAACAGGAUCUGCUCUCCAAUAAACAAAUGUGUCAAUUGUAAACUAACAGUUACGUCAUAUAGUAUUCUAGUGACGGGUGACCAAAGUCUGCAUCUACUUUAAGCACUGCAUGAUAAUUUUCCUAUACAAAUAAUAAUGCAUUUAUGCACAACACAUACUUUAAAGAUUAACAACAAACAUAGCAAUAACCAAAUUCAAGAUUUCUGAGAUAGUAUAGCUACAUCA